rnacentral:rRNA from 1 species
CACGUAGGGUGCGAGCGUUGUCCGGAAUUAUUGGGCGUAAAGAGCUCGUAGGCGGUGUGUCGCGUCGGCCGUGAAAACCUGCAGCUUAACUGUGGGCUUGCGGUCGAUACGGGCAUCACUGGAGUUCGGCAGGGGAGACUGGAAUUCCUGGUGUAGCGGUGAAAUGCGCAGAUAUCAGGAGGAACACCGGUGGCGAAGGCGGGUCUCUAGUACGGUACUGACGCUGAGGAGCGAAAGCGUGGGGAGCGAACAGG